rnacentral:misc_RNA from 1 species
AACACUGUUAACCUGCGGUACCUGCGGAGGGAUCAUUACAGAGUUGCAAAACUCCCCAAACCAUUGUGAACGUUACCUAAACCGUUGCUUCGGCGGGCGGCCCGGGUCCUUCCCGGCGCCCAUCGGCCCUCGCGGGCGCCCGCCGGAGGUAAACCAAACUAUUGCAUUGUAUGGCCUCUCUGAGUCUUCUGUACUGAAUAAGUCAAAACUUUCAACAAUGGAUCUCAGAUCGGAAGAGCA